rnacentral:lncRNA from 13 species
UUUCAAAAAAACUUAAAUAGGACACACAAAUUAGUGUUCAUCCACUAUCUGCUCCAUAUCCUAGUUUCUUGUGCAUUAACAAAUCCCUCAGAAAGUUGUGCAAGGUGGCAGUAUUAGCAAGUAGAUACCCUAGCUGCAGCCUUCAUUUCUGUAGAAAACAUAAUUUAACAGAGGAUCAGAAGCCUUUCCAUUAAGUAUGCUACUUUUUGAACGUAUUUUCAAAGGUGCUGCAGCACAGCGGGACCCCGUCCACUUGUCUUCAUUCCCUUGAUAAGUAGGAAAGCAUCUUGGAGGAGAGGCAGGCACAGGCUGUCACUGGGAAGCUGGAGUUCUUGUUCCCUGUGAGAGUCAUUCAUCCCUUCACUAACAUCACACCUUACUUAAACUACCCAGACAAAAAUAGAUCUCCACUUGAGCUAGAAAAGCAGUGAGAUGAAGAAGUACAGAACUACCAGUCUAAAUACUUCAGUUCUUUCUGUAAAAAUGACUUCUUCUGGGAUUGCUUUCUUCCAAACGAGAUAUUAAACUCUUCAAGAGCAGCAAUAAUAUCUUUUUCAUUCAGGAUUUGAGAUCAGACCUCUGUGCUACCCAUGUGCUCAACAUUGGCAGAGGAGGGAAAAAAUUCCAGUCUGGCCCCUAAAGAAGUGC